UUAUGCCCUCAGCCCCGCCUUGGUAACAAGGUAGUCCGGGCUGGAUCGUGACGCUUGCUUGACUUGUCUAAGCUGCGUUGAAAUGCAACAAGCUGCACCUUGGUACCGACGGCUUGACCUGUUGUCAUAAGCUAACACUUUCAACGGGGACGUUUGGUCGGGACGAGCUUACCACAAAACCUAUCUUUAUGU
rnacentral:misc_RNA from 1 species